rnacentral:lncRNA from 1 species
GGAAACUGGAUGUUCUCCUAAAACAGCCACCUAGCCAAGCUGAACCAACAGAGAUGUAUUGAUCACCGGGUCAAUGGAACUAGGUGGGUGCUGGGGGGAAAGUCAGCAGGUAAGUCAGGUGAGGACUGCCUCCCUUCCACUCCCCACCCAGAGACUGAAGACAGACAGACAGACAGAGGCGUUCAUUCAGAAAGAAGUAGGAGGGCUUCAGGGAUUCAGCGGAGGAGACUGAAAGCCUGAGAGACGAUGCCUCUGAGAAGGUUACAGACCUUGGGAGAAAGCGCUUUCACCUCCUCACCACAGACACUCUCGACUGUGGACUCAGGACACUAAGCCAGAAAGGUGACGAUUUCCUUCUUGAACCCGGCCUGCAUCAGCAGCUCAGACCCAGGGCUCCGGGUCCUUUGCUCUAUGUCCAGUGCUCUUUUUGCUCCCUCACACACUUAGCGAUGGCAGUGUUCUUAGUAUACUCAAAGAGCUUUGUAAUGAAUUAGAGCAGCCAUUCCCAACCUUCCUAGUGCUGCGGUCCUUUAAUACAGUUUCUUAAGUUGUGGCGAACCAUCCCCCCCACCCCCAACCAUAACAUUAUUCUUGCUGCUGCUGUUAUGAAUCGUAAUGAAACAUUUGAUCUGCAGUACAUCUGAUAUGUGAUUCCCGAGAAAGGGCCAUCAUAUUCCAAGGGAUCGGGACCCACAGCGUGAGAAGCCCUGAACUAGAGAUCCGCCUAAACUGAGAAACAACCUAGCACCUAUCCCAGCCCAUCAAUGUUGUAUAUGGCAACAGAUUCAAAAGCCCAGACUAAAACAUACUCACCAUCCAUGUUACCAGCUCUCACCAUGGGGCAGCAAUGUGGAUUUAGUAAGCAUAGCCCACGGGCACUCAUUUUGAAGACACUAGGAGAACUUCAAAGCCAGGUUUGUUCUUCUGCCUCUGGUGACAUUUUUAAAAUUUCAGCACUGUUUUUUUUUUUAAUUGAUUCUUUGUGAAUUUCAUAUCAUGCACCUCAGUCCUGCACAUCUCCUGUCCCCUCCCUCCCUCCAACCUCCACCCUUCCCCAACAAAGAAAAAUAAGUCCCCACUAUGGAAGCUGUAGUGUGCCAUCGUGUGUCCUUUUGUCCACACUUCUUUGCUUGCAAGUGCUCAUUGCAUUGACUUUGUUGGUCUGGUACGAGUCAGGCCUCUGGCUUCUGCUAUGCUAACGAUGCUAGAACCUUACUGAGACUCCUCUAGGGUAGACUGUUGUCACCCCGUGUGUCAUGGAGACCCUGUAGUUUUGGAUCUGCAGGACUGGCUUCUUCACGUACUCCAGCAGUUCAUUGAUGGGAUAGACGUGGGGUGGGCUAACUCAAAGCCCUGGAUCUGGGCCUGAGAGGUGUCUGAGCUGCUCAGCCCACCAGCUCUCCAGUUCUUGUGGCCUUUGGAUUGGCUCGCCAGCAACCCCCUCUCCCAGGGCUAGCUCUCCUGGCUGACCAGGUCGGUCCUUAUAUUUGCUUUAGGAACCUGACAAGACUGACUAGCCAUCUCUAGCAUUCAGAUAGGUGGAACUUCAUUGUGCUGAAGUUAUGUUUGAGCACCCUCUGCUGGACAAAUCAGAUGCUCUAUGACUACCAACAAUGUACCAGUGGUAUUCGUCUCUUGCAGAUCUGGAAGAAAAUGAAAUUUAGAUGUGAGCGAGCAGUCUCCUUCCUGCUGCUGCAGCUGCAAGCUGCUCCUGCCGCCCAUGCCUUCUCUACUGCCAUGCCUUCCCUACCACAAGGGCCAGAACUCUCACACUGAAAGCCAGAAUAAAUCCUUCCUCUCUUCGGUUGGUUGUUGUCAGGUAAUUGGUCCCAACCAUGGUAAAGCUUAGUGGAAAAGAAAAAAAAGGUAAAAAUCUAUUGUAGACUGAGUGCCCUGAAUCAGAAAACACACAGUCCAGCUGCUCUGAAAUCUAAGCAUCAUCGUGACACUACAAAGAGAAAACUCCAUAUCUGACCACACAUGAGAAUCUACUGAUGAAUACAACCAUGGGUUUACUAAAAAAAGGUGUAUAAAAUGAUCUUCAAGCUGCUCGUAUAAGAUAGGUAUGAAGUGUAAAUUGAAUUUUGGGUCUGACCCCCUAACAUAUUUUCCUGCGUGAAUACAAAUUCCCUCAAGUCCAAAUAACCCCACACUUGGGCGUUUCAGAUAGGGGAUACCCAAUCUGUAAGCCGUUUACUGCCAUAGAGAAGCUAUGAUGCAAGCAGAGCCUACUAACAACUUGGCCAAAACACUUCUAAUAACAGAACUUCACAUGGGUUUCCAUGAGGUCAGAAUGGAAGUAGGAGGAUACAUUGUUUGACGUCAUGGUAUCUGUCCAAUUAAGGUCUGUGUGAGCCUUCCAUCACCAUAACAAAACACAGAACAGAAUCAGCUUUUUAAGGGGGCUUAUUUUGGAUUAUGGUUGCAUAGGAAGAUAUAUAGAUAGGAUCUCCAUGCCAAUAUUUUUAAUGGGUGCUGUCUCUAUUGCUCUGGGCAGGAGAAGGCAGCAGCUGGCAUCAAUGGUGUGGUGAGGAGAGAAUCAAGUUUCCUUCUCCAGUUCAAACAGACGAAAGUGAAGCGACAUAGGCUCAAGGACAGGGUCACUGGGCUAGCGCCACACCAUGGAGCCAAACCCCGAGCCUUCUAAAUUGUGAGCUGGGCAUGGUGGUUCACCCCAGGAAUCGCAGCACUGAGGGAUGAAGGCGAGAGAGUCACUGUGGGUGUGACAUCAGUCUGGCCUGAAGUCUGAGACUGUUUUUUUAAAAAGAAAACAUUUUUUUAUGUCAUAUAUUUAAUUAUAUAAAGAUUCUGUUGUUUUGUUGUUGUUGUUGUUAAAAUUCAGCCAGGAAAUUUCCAUCUGUCUGGUGUUAAUUGGUUGUUUUUCAGCACUAAUUGGGAAAUGAUAUAUUUUUAUUGUUUUAUAAAUAGAGUAAAACCCCUCAGAAACUGCUGGGGAAAUUUAAACAAGGAAAGCAAUUCUAUGUCCUUGCUUGACACCAGUUUGUCCCAGAGGUGACACAACUGUGUAGUUUUUGAAAACACUGGGCAUUUAUAUAUAUAUGAGACAAAACCCCACUGUAUAGCCCUGGCUAACUCGAAACUCACUAUGUAAAUCAGGCUGGGCUUUGACACACAGAGCUCUGCCUUUGCCUACUCAGUGUUGGGAUUUAACACCCACACCACCAUAGCCAGCCUUCUCUCCAAGGGGCAAAUUUCUUUCUGAAGCAACUUCCUCAUUUAUUAACAGUAUUGCUUCCAGACCCCGUGUGUGUGUGUGUGUGUGUGUGUGUGUGUGUGUGUGUGUGUACAGAUAUGUGUUUGCAAGUAUUUAGACACAAGUUGAUGCAGACUACACCAGUUUCAUGAAAUUGUUCCCAUGUCAGUGGCUAGUCUGAGCCUUUUGUACUUGUAAACAGCUGGCUGUAAACUGGGGAUUCCCAUACUCUCCUCUUCAGCCCCAUAAUUAUCAUGGUGAUUUGCAACCUGUAGGUAAUGACCCGUUUGGCUCAUAUAUCAGAUAUUCUGCAUGUCAGAUAUUUAUAUUUUGAUUCAUAACAAUAGUAAAAUUAUAGUUAUGAAGUAGUAAUGUAAAUAGUUACACUGUGGGGGUCACCACAACACGAGGAACUGUGUUAAAUGGCUUCAGCAAUAGGAAGGUUGAGAGCCACUGAUUUAUUAGGUCAUUUCAUGGAUCGUGGGGAUGCUUUCUACUUUCAUCUAUUGUUUAUUACAAAAGAUGUAGACAGACAGAUAGAUAGACAGACUCACAGAUAAAUAGAAAAAUAGAUGACAGAAAGAUAGAAAGUUAGGUAAAAAGAUAAAAAGAUAGGUAGAUGCUAGAAAGAUAGAUAGACUCAAAGACAAAUAGAAAGAUAGAUAAUAGAGAAAGGUGGAAAGAAAAAUAGAUAGAUGAUGGAAAGAUAGGUAGAUAGACUGACAGAAUGA